rnacentral:rRNA from 1 species
AGAGUUUGAUCAUGGCUCAGGACGAACGCUGGCGGCGUGCUUAACACAUGCAAGUCGAACGGAAAGGCCCCUUUGGGGGUGCUCGAGUGGCGAACGGGUGAGUAACACGUGGGUGAUCUGCCCUGCACUUUGGGAUAAGCCUGGGAAACUGGGUCUAAUACCGGAUAGGACUCCGAGAUGCAUGUCUUGGGGUGGAAAGC